GUCAGAAGAGAAAGAGAAUGAAGCCUAAUCCACUGCAGUGUUUUCUUUGACAGACAACUAUUCUAGAUGAUCGAUGACGGAGGGGAGGGAGCUUUAAAACUGCUGAACUGUGACAAAGAACUGAACUGACCCUUCACUUUGUCCACCGCAAUAAACCAGUUCUGCUGGAGGAAAGCAUUCAUUCGUUCAACACAACAAAAGGGAUCCCAUAAAGAGAUACAAACUGAUACGACAUGCUGAGGCAAAGAACAGAGCCAGACACAGAGACAUCACACACAGACACAGCCAUUAGAUCCAUAACGGCAUUGUCAUCAAAAGGUACUGAAACCAUACAUAACCUUUCUCUUCUGUGUGUGCUGGGGCUAUAUAGU